rnacentral:ncRNA from 1 species
CAUAAGCUUGGUCCUGACUUUAAUAUCAGCUUUGAUAAAAUUUAUACAUGCAAGUCUCCGCAGCCCCGUGAGAAUGCCCUGUCUUUACCAAUAAUGGAAAAGAGGAGCUGGCAUCAGGCACAACCACCCUUAGCCCACGACGCCUUGCUUAGCCACACCCCCACGGGUAUUCAGCAGUAAUAAACAUUAAGCCAUGAGUGAAAACUUGACUUAGUUAACAUCAAGAGGGCCGGUAAAACUCGUGCCAGCCGCCGCGGUUAUACGAGAGGCCCAAGUUGACAAAUACCGGCGUAAAGAGUGGUUAAUAGAUUAUAAACUAAAGCCAAACACCUUCAAGACCGUCAUACGUACCCGAAGGCAGGAAGAUCCCCAACGAAAGUGGCUUUAACCUAGUAUGAACCCACGAAAGCUAGGAUACAAACUGGGAUUAGAUACCCCACUAUGCCUAGCCAUAAACAAAAAUAAACCCACACCCCAACUAUUCGCCAGGGAACAACGAGCCCCAGCUUAAAACCCAAAGGACUUGGCGGUGCUUUAGACCCCCCUAGAGGAGCCUGUUCUAGAACCGAUACCCCCCGUUCAACCUCACCCUCUCUUGUUUACCCCGCCUAUAUACCGCCGUCGUCAGCUUACCCUGUGAAGGACUUAUAGUAAGCAAAAUUGGCACAGCCCAAAACGUCAGGUCGAGGUGUAGCGUACGAGAGGGGAAGAAAUGGGCUACAUUUACUGGCUCAGUAAAUACGAAUGUUGCACUGAAAUAUGCAUUUGAAGGAGGAUUUAGCAGUAAGAGGAGAAUAGAGCGCCCCCCUGAAAACGGCCCUGAAGCGCGCACACACCGCCCGUCACUCUCCCCGAUAAACAAUAAAGAUAAAUAAUAAACCCCAGAGAAAACAAGGGGAGGCAAGUCGUAACAUGGUAAGUGUACCGGAAGGUGCACUUGGAAAACC